GACGAACACAAGGGAAGACUCAAGUGGAAGCUCCAUACACAAACGUCUACCAGAGCGUUUUUCUGUGCAAAGAGCAUUGGAGCUACUUGGGUUAAUUGAUGGAGACAACUCAGAUUUGGACGUGUCUGACAAUGAUGAUCCCAUCCUGGAUGGCAAUUACCAACCAUCACCACAGGAGGAAAGCAGCAGUGAGGACAGUAGUGAUGAUGAGGACCCCAUUUCUGAGCCCACUGACCACAGCUUAGGAUGCAAACAUGCAGAUAGUGCAGAUAAUGGUUCAUGGACAGGGACAGAGACAGGAACUGAGACAGGUACAAGUACAGGUUCAUCCCGCACUCUCAGACGUCGCCGUCAAAGUCUGAUUGAGGCUGAUAGCUCAGAAGAUAACUUGGAAGAGCCAACACCAAGACCAAGCCAAACAAAAAAAAAGAAAAAGGGAGACUCUGAACAAGGACGUGGACUACGCUGGAAGGCUACACCAUUGAGGCCAAACCUGGCAGAGUAUCUGCAUCAGGA